rnacentral:lncRNA from 1 species
CCAAAUAAAUAAUCCACUUACCCUUGCUUGUAGUUUGCUAAGUAGACUAUAUAUUUGUUGGUGCAACAGAGUUGAGGUUUUGGAUCGCAACAAUGAAAAGGCUUGGUGAGUCAUAGUCAUACGCUAAGCUACGGCCAGGUAAAUUUUUAGGGACUCAAUAAUUAAUUAUGACGAGACAUGCUAAGACAGUAGUGAGUGGGGUGCAUCAAUUCGAUGCUGAGGGGGGCCACUGGGCUCAACCUAUGUACGUAUAGGCCUUGUCGUCUUGCACCAAUCCUACCAGAUUGUCUCAGCUAACCUAUUUUUGAUUUCACAUAUCCCACCCCUCGGUGCAUUACUUCAUCGGUCAAAGGUUCAACAAUGCCCCUAAUAUUUAUAAAGAUAUUUCACUUUCACCUUAAAAUAAUUUUUUUUUCUAAAAAUACCUUUAACGUUACAAAUUUAAGAUCAAUUGUACUCUUUCCGUUAAAAAAAAUUCAACUAGACAAACAGACGUGCUAGACAAUUAACACGUGACAAAAAUAAAAUUUAAUAAUUACUUUUUUUUUUCUUUUCUCUUUCUUCUCUCUCUCUUCUUUUCUCUUCCUUUCUUCUCCCUAUUUUCUCUAUUUUAGAACAGAGGAAGAAGACGAAGCUUGCUCAGCUCCCGGCUACCCCAACAACUCUCUCGCCAUAACCGCAUCCGAUACAAUCCCCACCGAUCGCCCCUCUUCAAGCCUACAAAUCUCCGCCGAGCCAUCCUAAAAGCGAGGAGAGUUUGGGACGGAAGAGGCGGCCAUAGCAGGACUUGUCGCAACAACAAAUGGGGACUUAUUUAAUGCAGUCGAGCACCGGGGCUUUACCGGCGAGUCACGGAUCAAUUCAUGCGAAUUUUUGGAAUUCUUCUACCCCUUUGAAAAUUAGGUUAAUUUAAACAAAAUAUUGUUCUAGUUUUGUUCAGAAUUGUUUUGAAGUACUAACUAAGUUAAAUAAGAUUAAUUGGAUUCGGUAAAAUGGGGAUUCUUGAAGUUUUUUAAGUUCAAAAUCUGUUCUUGUGCAAAGUCUGAUUGGUUAUUUGUAUCUCACUACUUUGUUUAUGGAAUUAUUUUAGUAGUUCACAGUCCUUUAUUCUUGAAUUGCACUCGUCUCUCUCAUAUACAUAAAAAAUUACCUUACUGAUGUUGGUUGGUAAUCUAGUUUCAAUCUUUUACUGAACCUCCCCCCUCCCUAUAGUAUUGUGUUCUUUUAAAUAAUAAUAAAUAGUUGGAUUAGGCUAAUUUGGAGGUUCUUGAUAUUUAAAGGUUUUUAUUAAUUAAUUAAUUUAUUUAUCUUUUCUCCUGUACAUUUUCUUUGGAAACAAAGAAAGUUAUUGGAAUAAACAGUGGAGCUAAAUAUCUGUUUAAUUAUGUAAUGCAGUGAAUAUGGUUUGCAUUUCAGUUCGAUGGUUGGGGAUAUUGCUGUUGUUGUAUGCCUGCACUGCAAUGGCAGAGGAGGGAGAGUACAUGAAGUAAUUUUGUUAACUCAGAUUUCUUAUCCCCACAAACCCAAACCCUUCUCGUAACAUAAAAUACUAAAUGAAAGCAAAAAAUAAUUUUGUUAACUCAGAUUCCUGUUUCAGUUUUGUUAUUUUAGAACUGAGGAAGAAAAAAUGAGAGAGAGAGAAAAGAGAGAAGAAAGGAAGAGAAGAGAGAGAGAGAAAAGAAAAAAAAUUUAUUAAAUUUUACUUUCGCCAUGUGUCAAUCGCCUAACACGUUCGUUUGUUUUUUUUAAUUGGAAGGGCACAAUUGACUUUAAAUUUGUAACGUUAAAGGUACUUUUGAAAAAAUAAUUAGUUUAGGGUGAAAGUGGGAUAUCCGUGUAAACAUCAAGAGUAUUUUUGCACCUUUGCUCUUACUUCAUCUCAUAAUCAUCUGUGCUGGACCGGAAAAGGAGGUGUCUUUUUGUGAAUAGAUUUUUGUGGACGCGAUUUUGGUGAUUAUGAGUCAUAAACGAAUCUUGGCGUUAACAUUCAAUAACGGAGCUAUCAGUAGCAAUAAGAUUUCUACAUUGCAAUGAUGAAAAAGUAGUUUUAAUUCUGCAUAAUGCUGCGAAAUUAGAAGGCCGAAAAAUAUGAAACUAAACAGCUAAAAAGUAAGAACCCGACAAAUUAUAGAGUUGUCUAAAAUAAAGACUUGAGAUUGAAACUCUGCACAAGCACAAUGCAGUAUCACAUGCAUAUGGUCCGAUACUAGAAUACAAGAAGUGCUCACAACUCAACUACUACUUGUUUUUAACACCCACUCCCACUUAUUGUAUUUUAGUGGGUUCUGUCCUAUAUUUGUUGCAGACGGAGACUUGGGAAGGU